CCUUCCGUAGGUGAACCUGCGGAAGGAUCAUACAAAACUGCGGCGCAAGCCGUAGCCAAAACACACUGAGUAAAAAAUCUUGGCUAAUACACAUACAACCGAUUUAUCUAAAUCUCCUCCCAACGGAUCUCUUGGCUCUCGCGACGAUGAAGAACGCAGCGAUCCGCGAUACGUCCUGGAAGCCGCCGUGAACCAUCAAUUUUCGAACGCACAUUGCAUACAGGGAGGGUGGGGUGAGUCAAUUCUCACACUCGUGGUCUAGUUUACAAAGGAUGACUAAUAACUUCGUCAGCCCUUACCGUUUUCUCCCCCGCCCCCUCAGAUUACCCGCUGAACUUAAGCAUAUCAAUAAGCGGAGGAAAAACUG
rnacentral:rRNA from 1 species